AUGUCUUCCUCCUCCGCCUCCGGUGCCUCCUCCUCAAACCUCAAUAGCCAGGUCACGGAGAAGCUGUCCCGCACGAACUACGUGCUAUGGCGAACACAGAUCACCCCCCAACUGCGUGGCGCCGGCGUCUACGGCUACGUCGACGGCACCACACCGGAGCCGGCGAAACUCCUCAUCACCACCAAAGACGGCAAGGAGACUUCAUCACCCAACCCUCUCCACCCUGUAUGGGUCCGGGAGGACCAGCAGGUCCUUAGCUUCCUGCUGGCCAACCUCACAAAGGAGGUUCUGGUGACGGUGACCACAGUCACCACGGCGAGCGCGCUCUGGACGACGCUCGCUACCAUGUUCUCGUCGCACUCGGUGAGCCGCAUCAACAACAUCCGCACCUCCCUCAUCAACGCGCAGAAGGGUAAUCUCUCGGUUGCCUCUUACUUUGCUGCUAUGCGCGGAUAUGCAGAUGAACUAGCCGCGGCGGGCAAGGCCAUCCAGGAUGACGAACUAGUCUCCUACAUCAUCCAC
rnacentral:rRNA from 1 species